GGAAGUCUCUGCACUGAGUAGAGGACAGGGACUGCCAUUGUGGCUGGUUCCUCAGUAGGGAGCACAAGGUGGGGAAAACUCUGUGUGCCCUCCCACUCCCUUUGUGCACCUGCACAGAGCCAAUCACAAUCCCACCCUAAUUAAGUAAGCUGCACCACACCCUGGGAAGUAGUUGGACAUUAUUAUCCCAUGUUACAUCUGGGGAAACUCAGGCACAGAGGGAAAGUGACACUUGCCCAACGGCUCUCAGCAAAUCAGUGACAGAGCCAUGACUAGAACCCAGGAGUCCCGGGUCAUAGUCCCCUUCUCUUUACACUAGAACACAUAGAGCAUCUGCUCUUGCUUGUCAUAACGCUUCACCUUUGUGUCCAGUGGGCAGCGCUGAGGAAGAUCAAGGCUUUACAAAGGUGGUCAGUAUCAGUUUACAAAUGGGGAAACUGAGGCACAAAGCAGGAAGUGACUUGCCCAAGGUCACUCAGCAGACUAGAGAGUGAGCUUUGAACAACCCAGCGGAGAGAAUUGCCCAGCCUGAGCUCUUGCUGGGAUGGCUGAGGUGACACUGAAAGGUUCACUGGAUCCGACAACCCAUCCCUUCCUUGAAAAAGCACAUGCUGAUUGCAAAGGGCAGCCGAGUACUUGCAGCCUACAAUGAAGAUUAAGGGAAAGGACAGCAAGAAGAACAAAAGUGAAAUCUCCAGGGGAGAGUACUCCAGUGUCCUCUGCAACAGGUUAAAGCAACUCAGCGCAAACUAGCUGCUGGCUCUGCACACAGGCAAGCUUCUUAGCCAUUUAAAGGUGCAGUAGACAGAAAAUGAAAACAUCAGUUUCAGAGCAUUUUACACCACAUUCUCCUUAAUAAAGAGGU